rnacentral:tRNA from 1 species
GGGGGCAUGGUGUAAUGGAUAGCAUUGGGGGCUACGAACCCCUUGAUCUCGGUUCGAAUCCGGGUGCCCUCGCCA